UUAAAUUGAAGAGUUUGAUCAUGGCUCAGAUUGAACGCUGGCGGCAGGCCUAACACAUGCAAGUCGAGCGGCAGCGGGAAAGUAGCUUGCA
rnacentral:rRNA from 1 species